rnacentral:lncRNA from 1 species
UGUCUUCGAACCAAUUUUUCAUACCACCAAUACUAAUUAAUCACAAAAUUACAAUUACAAAUAAAAACAAUAGAAACGUGAUUUCACUAACAAACAAAUUGAAUUUCUAAUUACACCAAAACCAAUCAUUUCAAUUUCUUUCUUUCACCCCCUUACGGCGAAGCCCCCCACAAAACCUCCGCAGAAAUGGUGGCGGCCUCCGCGUCGGAAACGGAGGCCUCCCUCACUUUCACCAAUAUCUGCUGCUUAAACGCCCUCCUCUCCCGCUGCCUCAGCCCCUCCCCCACCUCUAACUGCACCGCGAACCUCGCCGCGCAGCUCGCAAACGGGUGGCUCUCCAAGAACCCCUUCUCCCUGCUCUCCCUCAUCAAAUCGCCGCCGUGCUCCGACCUCUGCAACUCCAUAAGCUUCUCAAUCAACGCCUCCUCUAGCAUCGCAUCAACGGCCUCCUUCCGCCCGAAGUACCCGAUUUCGAGCACGCAGACCAUCGCCAUCACUCGCAUUUCCAAAUCUUCUGAAUUCAGGAAGCUUAUGAUCUUGGGUAUUUCUCCGUUGAACUCGAUCUCAUCGACGAGCGGCGAUUUGAUCAGCCUGACGAGCGCGCAGAGCACUCUGAUCGCGUCCGGUGACGCCAUUUUUAUCAGAGAGCUAAUCGUCGGCCGACCCAUCAAAACUUGACCCACGAAAACAUCUUUAUUGAACUUGAUGAGAGCUGCAAUGGCGAAAGCAGAGCGUUCUCUGACUCGCUUCGAUGACCGAGUCGAUUCGCACAGAACUGACUCAAGCGAGGUGAAAACUUUGGACUUCAAGAUCAAAUCCUGCAACUCGCGGUUGAACCCCUGCGCGACUCUGUCCUCGAACUGAGUCAGUAGCUUGAUCAAAUCAUCCUCGUCGCGAAUUGGGUCUUCUUCCAGAGCUCGCGUCAAGCUUUCUAAGCUCUCGCGGUCGAUCCACGCUUGAAUUUCGGACUCAAUCGACCCGGCGAGUUUGGAGAGGCAGUGAGUCGAUGAGCGGCGGGUCAGGAAGGAGCGGAUGCUGAGGUGGCCGCUGGACUGGCGGAGGGACUCUACGAGGGUUUUGAGGGUGGCGAGGUGUUUGGAGAGGGCGGAGAGUUGUGGGUCCCGGGAGAGGAUGUUGUCGGACUCGGUCUCGAGCUCGAGGAGGGCGUUAAUGGCGGAGGAUGAGUUUGACUCGGGCGAAUCGGGACUAGGGUGGGUCUGUAGCUCGUGGGAGGCUUGUUUUAGAGCUUCUAGGACCUUGAGGACUCGUGGGCCGUCUUCCUUUUGAUGGAGCUUGACCUCCAUGGCCAUGGAGAUCAGAAGCCGUCGUGAUUUUCUGAUGAAGAGGAUUUGAGUUUUUUUUAAGAAGUGGGAGAUUAAAUAGAAUAGAGAGAGAGAGAGAUCCAAUUUUGAAAUGAAAUUAAAAUAAAUAAAAAGGAAUUUUCUUGUCACAACUCAACGACCAGUUUAUCUCUAGCUAUAUGCAUGGCAUGCCAAAGCCAAACAUUCUUUUUCAAGAGAGAUUUUUUAGUGUAAUCAGAACAUGAGUACAUACGUCAAUUAAAGAGGUACGAGAAAUUUAUUAGUAUACCGGAAAAACACGAUUCAGUAUAUCAAAUGUUCUAAUAAAAAUGGUUGAAAAUUAUGUUUUUUAAAUGUCAAACCACUUAUAUUAUGAUAUUUGAUAUAUUCAGUUUAAUGAAAAAUCUCUCGAGGGGCACUCGAGAAAAAUAACCUCUUCUUCUUAUAUAAUAACAUAGGAUUACCACCUCAUGCUUCGAC